rnacentral:antisense_RNA from 1 species
ACCGACAUCAGGGAUUCGUUUUGCGACCCGUUGCCCACCGCCAGGUAAGAGUGCAUACCCAGCUCGCGCAUCUGCUGUUCGCCAAUCACGCGGGUGACGACGUUCUUGCUGUAGGCAUCCGCCAGCUGGCGCGCCUGGGAGGCGAGAUAGGCGGCGUUGCAGAUAUUGGGCGGCAUAUUGCCCAGAUCUUUUGC